UAAGAGGUCUCAAAGGCUCUUCCUAAGCCCUCCUCAUGCAAGAUGCCAACCGUGUCAGCCGAGUCCUGAGAUCAAGGGUUCAUGCAGCCUCUUGCUGUUGACAGGGAAAAGGAAGAAAAAGAACAAAGGACUCAGUCCUGGAAUCUGUUGUCUGUGGUCUGAGAUGUUUGCAGGGGAUCCAGCAGAGAGAAGAGCAGGAUCAUACGACUGCAUGAGAUGACACAAGGCUCUCCUGAGCAGCCCACGCUCCCUGUCCGAGCACUGAGCCCAUGGACGCACCUCUUUAUCCUGACUCUACUGACUGCUUUAAAGGAUGCUCUGG
rnacentral:lncRNA from 12 species